AAAGAGAAAGAUACAUAAUGUCUUGUAAGGAACCAGAGCAAUGGUUGUGAAUUAGUCAAUAAAUAAACAAUUAUUAAGCAUUUAUGUUCUAGAUACUAUGUUAGCACUUGAGGAUACAAAAAAAGGCAAAAAGUCUUAGAUCUUAAGGAACUCCCUAACAGACAGGCUAAAAAUCAGAUAAUUCCAAAGUUGGAGAGGACUUCUUCAGGAUUCUCUUUUAUUUUUUUCCCACUUAAUAAUAUAUUUUUUUCUAAUUACAUGUACAGAUAAUUUUCAGCAUUCAUUUUUGUAAGAUUUCAAGUACUAAUUUUUAAAAAUCAUCAUUUUUAAUACUAUUUUAUUUUCCAAAUAUAUGUGAUGUAAACAGUGUCCCCUUUGGGGAGAAAGGUACUCCUGACUCUCAAACCCUCUCAGCCCCUGGUUGGGGCACACCCUUUCCAGAUAACUCCCAAGAUAAGUAAUCUCAUUCAAUUAGAAAUCUCAGCAUGGGGCAGAGUCAACAUCCUCUAUUAAGUUGUUCAAAUUGCUCCCCACCCCCAGGCCAAGAUUAACUCAAUAUAACCAAGGGUUUGUCAACUCAUCUUUGCUAAAUGCCCUUCUGGAUUUAGCCCACUUAUGAAAAUACUUUCUUCUCAGUGUAAAUCCAUCUUUGCCAAAUCAAGAAUUUGUCUGCUAAGAAAGCUGUCUUCUUAAUGUAAAUAAAUCCUCUUUUGCCAUAAACUUCUUGUUUGUGAAUUCUUUAGCAAAAAAUUUGUGACAUCAACCAGAGGGGACACCUUACCCUCAAUUCUCAUACUUCAUCACAUGCAGAUAAUUUUCAACAUUUACCUUUGUAUAACCUUGUGUUCCAAAUUUUUCUCCCUCUUUUUCUCCUUCCUCCCUCCCCAAGACAACAAGCAAUCCAAUAUAGGUUAAAUAUGUGCAAUUCUUCUAAACAUAUUUAGAUAUUUGUCAUGAUGCUCAUGUUAUGCCACAGUUUUCUUUAACUGUCCUGACUCAGUUUCCUUGUACAAGUUUCCCUUGUCUCAGUCUCCCUAAUUACUCCCCUAAGCUGUAAAUCUCCCUCUGCUCCAUGAAGGCUGAGGACCAAUUAGUCUAAGGAUAUAAAUUGUUAGCCCAAGCAAGAUAAACAAGAGAGUAGAUUUCCUGAUUAUCUUCUGUCCUUGAGAAAUUUACAACAUCCCUUAAAAUAUUCCAAGAUAUUUCACUGACAUCUUUAUCUCUGGGUUCCUUUUUAAUUCAUAGUCUUUUCCAGCUGGGCUUUUCCCGCUCUUUUUCCCUCUUCUUUGUCUCUAAAAGGUAUAUAAAGGUUAGAGAUUCUCCAUUCAUUGCUGGAGAAUGGCGGCUGGCUGUGGAUGCUGGACGCUGGAUUCUUUGAGAUGAUAGUCUCCUCCAGACCUGGGACCAACAUGAAUUCCUUGGUCCCAGUAUAUCUUUAUCUCUGUCUGGCUGGACAAUUUGAGACGAGAGUCCUGUCCAGUCAAUCUUACUCUCCCAUUAAUAAAAUAUUAAAAACUCUCUAAUCUCUCUCCUGCCUCAGUUUCUCUGGCAUUACAUUUUGGAGGUUCCCCCGAGAUAAUAGAAACUGAGAACUGGAUUAGAGAUUAGAGACCUCUCCGUCUCCACCUAGGCCUGGGCUCAGGACCUGGGUCUGUUCCUCAGGAAAGAUCAGCACUCUGGAUAGAAAAGGAAGCAGUUCUUCAGUCUCAGUCCGGCCUACAGUGGACAACGGAAUCGAUUCGGCAUUUGGGAGAGUAAGUCUGUCUGGGUACCUUUUGGGGUACCAUCUAGUUCUGGUUCUGGUUCUGGUCUGGUCUGUUGCUAGCAACCUGUAGUCUCAGAAUAAAUAACGACGGGUUUAAAAAUUCUGAGACGGGUAUUUUCUGGGACGCUGGGAAAUAUCCUCUGGGUAUAUGUUAUGUGUUAUAUGUUUGUUUAAUGUUGUAACUGUGUAGUCUGUGUGAUGUGUUUUCUAUGUUCUGUGUGAUUUGUCUGUUUUAUUGGUUGGAAAAAUUUUUAAGAACAACGUUGCAACUGUGCUUACUAAAAUGGAGCUCCAUGUUUGUCUGUGCGUGUCUGUGUUAAAAGGUAGCAAGCUUGUAAGAGAUAAGGAUUCAGCCUCUGUGUGCAGGCUUAGAAAAUAUCAAGAAGCUUGAAAAAUCUUUCUCUCUCCCUCUGUCUCUGGCUGACUGCAGCAGCCUGUGAGAAAAAGGGAGAAAA